ACAUACAAAGUUUCGUCCAUAUAUACAUACAUAUAGUUGCACAUAUAUUGUUCAUCCAUAUAUACAUAUACAUAUAGUUCCACAUUGUUCAUCAACUCAAAUAAAAACGGGAACUAAAGCACUCCAAUGCCAGCUUCCAUGCAUGUAGUACAUCCAAUCUGCAAAAUGGGAAUAAGAAACACAGAAGAAGAAGAAGAAGAAGAACAUAUAUAUGACAAAUAAGCUAAAUUGAAGAAGAAAGAGAAGAAGCAAGAAGAGAACAAGGAGAAGAAAAACAAGGAGGAGGAGGAGGAGGAGGAGGGGAAGGAGAAGGACAAGGAGGAGGAGAAGAAGAAAAAAGAAGAAGAGAAGAAGAAGGAGAAGAAGGAGGAGAAGGAGGAGAGAAGAAGAAGGAGAAGAAGGAUGGCUCCUUCUCCUUCUUCUCCUCCUUCUCCUCCUCCUCCUUCUUCUUCUCCUUCUCCUUCUCCUUCUCUUCUUCUUCUCUUCUUUUUCUUCUUCUUCCUUCUUUUCAUUUCUCCUCUUCUUGGAGCUAAAUUAGCUAACUAUGUCUUUUCGCAGCUAAAUGGGCUAAUUAUGUCAUUCUAGCGGAAAACAAGCUAAGUAUAUAAUAUUAAUGAGCUAAUCAAGGUUCUUAUGCCAUUUUGAGCUUAUUAUGUCUUUUAGGAGCUUAAUUAGUCAUUUUAUUGAGCUAACCAAGGUUCUUAUGAUGUUUUUACCUAACUAAGCUAAUUAUGUCAUUUUGGAUGAUAAUUGGCUAAGUAUGUCUUUGUUGGGGAAAAUAAGCUAAAUUGAAGAAGAAGAGGAGAAGAAGGAGGGAAGAAGAAGGAGAAUAAGGAGGGCUCCUUCUCCUCCUUCUCCUUCUUCUCUUCUUCUUCUCCUCCUCCUUCUUCUCCUUCUCCUUCUCUUCUCUUUCUCUUCUUCUUUUUGUUCUUCCUUUUUAUUUCUCCUCUUCUCCUCUUCUUGGAGCUAAAUUAGCUAACUAUGUCAUUAUAGAGGAAAACAAGCUAAGUAUAUAAUAUUAAUGAGCUAACCAAGGUUCUUAUGCCAUUUUGAGCUUAUAAUGUCUUUUUGGAGCUAAAUUGUCUAAUUAUGUCAUUGUUGGGGAAAUUAAGGCAAGGAGAAUAUGAAAGAAGAAAAGAAAGAGGAGGAGGAGAAGAAGAAGAAGAAAUAAAGAAGGAGGAGGAGAAGGACUAGAAGGUCCUUGGCCUUCUCCUCCUUCUCCUCCUCCUCCUCCUCCUCCUUCUCCUUCUUCUNNNNNNNNNNNNNNNNNNNNNNNNNNNNNNNNNNNNNNNNNNNNNNNNNNNNNNNNNNNNNNNNNNNNNNNNNNNNNNNNNNNNNNNNNNNNNNNNNNNNGGAGGAGGAGAAGGACUAGAAGGUCCUUGGCCUUCUCCUCCUUCUUCUCCUCCUCCUCCUCCACCUCCUCCUUCUUCUCCUCCUCCUUCUUCUCCUUCUCCUUCUCUUCUCUUUUUCUUCUUUUUUGUUCUUCCUUUUCAUUUCUCCUCUUCUUGGAGCUAAAUUAGCUAACUAUGUCAUUAUAGAGGAAAACAAGCUAAGUAUAUAAUAUUAAUGAGCUAACCAAGGUUCUUAUGCCAUUUUGAGCUUAUAAUGUCUUUUUGGAGCUAACCAAGGUUUUUAUGCCAUUAAGGAGAAUAAGGAGGAGGAGGAGGAGGAGAAGGACUAGAAGGUCCUUGGCCUUCUCCUCCUUCUCCUCCUCCUCCUCCUCCUUCUCCUUCUUCUCUUCUUCUUCUUUCUUUUCAUUUUUCCUAUUUAUUCUCCUCUUCACCUCUUCUUGGAGCUAAAUUAGCUAAAUAUGUCUUUUUGGAGCUAAAUGGUAUAAUUAUCCCAUUUUAGAGGAAAACAAGCUAAGUAUAUAAUAUUAAUAAGCUAACCAAGCUUCUUAUGCCAUUUUGAGGUUAUUAUGGCAUUUUGGAGCUAAAUGGUCUAAUUAUGUCAUUGUUGGGGAAAUUAAGGAAAGGAUAAUAUGAAAGAGGAGAAGAAAGAGGAGGAGGAGAAGAAGAAGAAGAAAUAAAGAAGAAGGAGGAGAAGGAGGAGGAGGAGGAGAAGGACUAGAAGGUCCUUGGCCUUCUCCUCCUGCUCCUCUUCCUCCUCCUCCUCCUUCUCCUUCUUCUCUUCUUCUUCUUUCUUUUCGANNNNNNNNNNNNNNNNNNNNNNNNNNNNNNNNNNNNNNNNNNNNNNNNNNNNNNNNNNNNNNNNNNNNNNNNNNNNNNNNNNNNNNNNNNNNNNNNNNNNCCGCGUAAUGCCCCGGGGUAACCCUGAGGCCUUCUGGACCCCCUCCCGAGGAGCCUCCAACACUGGCACAGGCGGCGCUACUAAAGGAGAGGCGCCACAAAGAACAAGAGGCCCCGAAGGCUGCUGCACAGCUGCGAGCGUCAGCACCUUCAGAGGCCGGGGAUCCUUGGAGGCCAGUUCUCCAUGCAACGGCGUCCCCACGCUCACCAGAGGAUGCUUCGGGGGCUCGGGGGGCUUGACGACCAAGGCCAGGGAGGCCGCCCAAAGAUCCCCUCCUCCUCCUCCUUACCCGUAGACGGUGAUGUGUCGACAAGGGCAGGCGGGGCAUCGAGAGACGCCUUCGGCCUAGCAACCGUCUUCUUCUUCUUCGGCGUGAGACCAAAUCAGCGUUCGCCCAUGCUCACUGGACUCACCCACGGUCCAUGGAAGCACCGAGACGAGAUCCGCCUCCUUGGAGAGGGCGCAGUCCAGGAGCGGAGAAGUUGGGGCCAGGCCAUGCCCCUCUGGCUUAUACUUGCCGGUGGUGCCAUCGCUGGAUUGUCGAGUAACUAUGCGACACUGGAUCUGGGAGGCAUCGGCCGGAGUCAAAGGCUUAAGAAGAAAGACGAGUGCGGUAAAAGGAAGGCAAUAAGGCACCGAAGCUACAAGCAGGGCACCUAAUAAAGGGGGCAGAGAUAGAGGACAAGGAGGCAUGGACGCCAUCCGCGUGUCGUGCGCCGGCCUGGACCAUAGGUGUUUGAGGGCCCACGACGUCUCAUGCUACCCCUCAAGGCUCCUCCCUGAAGCCAACCCGAGCACACCGCAUGUCCGGCGGCUACUGUCGGCCUUCUGGGACUCGGGGUACCCAGACCUGCCUGCCUGUGGCCCAGGACGGGCCCGCUUCACUAGAGUGACGCAACAAGCCCAGUGAUAACCCACAAGUAUAAGGGAUCACAACAGUUUUCGAGGGUAGAGUAUUCAACCCAAACAUAUUGAUUCGACACAAGGGGAAGCCAAAGAAUAUUCUCAAGUAUUAGCAGUUGAGUUGUCAAUUCAACCACACCUAAAAGACUUAGUAUCUGCCGCAAAUCUAUCAGUAGCAAGGUAGUGUGAUAGCAACAGUAACCAGUAGCAACAAAGUGACAGCAGUGGUGACAGAGUAACAGUAGCAGCAGUAACAACAGUAGCGGCAAAGUAACGUAGCAAGGACCAGUAGGAAAAACUCGUAGGCAUUGGAUCAGUGAUGGAUGAUUAUGCCAGAAGGUAUUCAUCAUGCAACAGUUAUAACACGGNNNNNNNNNNNNNNNNNNNNNNNNNNNNNNNNNNNNNNNNNNNNNNNNNNNNNNNNNNNNNNNNNNNNNNNNNNNNNNNNNNNNNNNNNNNNNNNNNNNNCUUAAUGCUUAAUAUGUAAGCAGCCUCUCCUAGGUAAUUCGUUGAAAAACAUUAGUUCAAGUAAUCCUUUACACUCUCUAAAAACUCCACAUUGUUUUCAAUCAGCAAUAUGUCAUCCACAUAUAACAUUAGAAACGCUACAGAGCUCCCACUCACUUUCUUGUAUAUAGAAGAUUCUCCAACAACUUGUAUAAUCCCAAAUGUCUUGAUCACCUCAUCAAAGCGUUUAUUCCAACUCCGAAAUGCUUGCACCAGUCCAUAAAUAGAUCGCUAGAGCUUGCAUACUUUGCUAGCAUUCUUUGGAUCGACAAAACCUUCGGAUUGCAUCAUAUACAAGUCUUCCUUAAGAAACCAUUAAGGAACCCCAUUUUGACAUCCAUCAUCAUAUACAAGUCUUCCUUAAGAAACCAUUAAGGAACACCAUUUUGACAUCCAUCUGCCAAAUUUCAUAAUCGAAAUAUGCAGCAAUUGCUAACAUGAUUCGGACGGACUUAAGCAUCGCUACCAGUGAUAAUGUAUCAUCGUAGUCAACAACUUGAACUUGUGAAAAUACUUUUUCCACAAGUCGAGCUUUAUAAAAGGUCACAUUACCAACCGCGUCCGUCUUCUUGAAGAUCCAUUUGUUCUGAAUAGCCUUGCAACCUUCAGGUAAUACUUCCAAAGUCCACACUUUGUUUUCAUACAUAGACCCUAUCUCGGAUUUCAUGGCCUCUAGCCAUUUAUUGGAAUCAGGGCCCACCAUUGCUUCUUCAUAAUUCGCAGGCUCGUUGUUGUCUAACAACAUGAUAGAUAAGACAGGAUUUCCGUACCACUCAGGAGCAGUACGUGAUCUGGUCGACCUGCGAGGUCCGAUAGUAACUUGAUCCGAAACUUCAUGAUCACCAUCAUUAGCUUCCUCCUCAACCGGUGUUUCCUCGACACAGAUUUCCCUCUGCCCCGCGCCACCAUCUUGAGCGAGCAGAGGUUCCAAAACCUCAUCAAUUCUUUCGAGAGAAACUAUUUCUCAAGAAAAGCUUCGUUCUUAGAAACAAACACUUUGCCCUCGGAUCUGAGAUAGAAGGUGUACCCAACUGUCUCUUUUGGACAACUAUGAAGACGCACUUUUCCGCUUUGGGUUCCAGCUUUUCAGGCUGAAGCUUUUUGACAUAAGCAUCGCAUCCACAAACUUUAAGAAACGACAACUUUGGCAUCUUGCCACACCAUAGUUCAUAUGGUGUCGUCUCAACGGAUUUUGAUGGUGCCCUAUUUAAAGUGUAUGCAGAUGUCUCUAAUGCAUAACCCCAAAACGAUAAUGGCAAACCGGUAAGAUACAUCAUAGAUCGCACCAUAUCUAACGAAGUAGGAUUACGACGUUUGGACACACCAUUACGAUGUGGUGUUCCAGGCGGUGUCAACUGUGAAACAAUUCCAAAUUGUCUUAAGUGAGCACCAAACUCAAAACUCAGAUAUUCGCCCCCUCGAUCAGAUCAUAGGAACUUAAUCUUCUUGCUACGAUGAUUUUCAACUUCACUUUGAAAUUGCUUGAAGUUUUGAAAUGUUUCAGACUUGUACUUCAUCAAGUAGAUAUAUCCAUAGCUACUCAAAUCAUCAGUGAAGGUGAGAAAAUAACGAUAUCCGUAGCGCGCCUCCACACUCAUUGGCCCGCACACAUCAGUAUGUAUGAUCUCCAACAAGUCACUUGCACGCUCCAUUGUUCCGGAGAAUGGAGUCUUAGUCAUCUUGCCCAUGAGGCAUGGUUCGCACUUGUCAAGUGAUUCGAAAUCAAGUGACUCCAAAAUUCCAUCAGCAUGGAUUUUCUUCAUGCGCUUUACACCAAAAUGACCUAAGCAGCAGUGCCACAAAAAGGUUGCGCUAUCAUUGUUAACUCUACAUCUUUUGGUCUCAAUGUUAUGGAUAUGUGUGUCAUCAUAAUCAAGAUUCAAUAUGAACAAACCCCUCACAUUUGGUGCAUGACCAUAAAAGAUAUUACUCAUAAAAAUAGAACAACCAUUNNNNNNNNNNNNNNNNNNNNNNNNNNNNNNNNNNNNNNNNNNNNNNNNNNNNNNNNNNNNNNNNNNNNNNNNNNNNNNNNNNNNNNNNNNNNNNNNNNNNAACACAGUUUUGAACUCAAAAGGACAUGCAUAUAUUUGAGCCACCCAAUGCAAGGAACAAAAGAUUUGGUGUCCACCGGAAAAAAAUAUUCACAAUUCCAUCGAAUGUUGUUAGUGCUGGAUGCCACAUUUGUAGAAAAAUCAGGCUCAGACUUGUGAGAAGGAGAUAUACCUCACUCAUGAUGAUCUAUCACGCACAGCUAAGCCGAUAGAUAAGAAAUUAAUUGGCGACCGUAUUGUCGGAUUUCGGGCUCCACAAAGCCCUAAGGAUCCGAACANNNNNNNNNNNNNNNNNNNNNNNNNNNNNNNNNNNNNNNNNNNNNNNNNNNNCUAAGGAUCCGAACACUGGGGCGUGUAUGAAGAUCUCCCCUGCUUCGCCUCGCAUGUCUCACUACUCGAUGGAAACAAUGAAGGACUCACUCGAAGGUUCAGGCCGCUGCGAAGCAUAAAACACUACACCUGCUUUGAUGGAUUGCCUCUCUCUGAGGUUGAGGAACGAGAUGGUACACGACUUUUGCGCCUCCAGAGGCCAAGUGGCUAAGCGUGCUGCUCUAGGGUUUCGAUCCCCUCUCUCAACUAUCCUACCCUAUCUAUUUAUAGUGGAGGCCCGGGUCCUCUUCCCUNNNNNNNNNNNNNNNNNNNNNNNNNNNNNNNGGGUCCUCUUCCCUCUUAGCUUUGGCGGGAAGGGAUUCCACAACGACCAAUUUUGAAGGGGAACAUGCUCCCCUAACAAGAGAUGGUCUUCACCUGCAAAGUAAUUGUCCACCCCAUAGAGACCGGCUCGUGGAUGACGUUUGCCCUACUGGCGGGAGACUGCGGCUUUGUUGCACCAGAAGAUAAACCUUUGGGGGAUGCCUUUGGGAAGCAUGUACGCCCCACCUCCUUUGCACCAAAGGGGAAACUAUCUCGUCCUGCCAUAUGCUGCUCGCCUAUCCUUCCCUGGUGUCACCCUUGACUGCCGAGGACCGGCCCUGCCUCGUAAUAUCCACCAAUCCGGACGGGUCCUGAAGAGGCCCCCCUACGGGUCUUGACGCUGCUCCUCCUCAUGAGGCUUAGCUCCUCACGAGGGCCUGCCCUUAAGCCGUGCUGGGUGAUACGUCUCCAUCGUAUCUACUUUUCCAAACUCUUUUUCCCUUGUUUUGCACUCUAGUUUGCAUGAUUUGAAUGGAACUAACCCGGACUAAUGUUGUUUUCAGUAGAAUUGUCAUGGUGUUGUUUUUGCGCAGAAAUAAAAGUUCCCGGAAUGACCUGAAAAUUUACGAAGAAUUUUUUGUGGAAUAUAUAAAAAAUACUAGCGCAAGAAUCAACCGAAGAAGUGGAGCGUGGAGCCCACAAGCCCACCAGGCGUGCCCCCCUGGCCGCGCCUAACAGGUUUGUGGGGCCCACAUUGCUCCACCGCCUCCCAUUCCACCNNNNNNNNNNNNNNNNNNNNNNNNNNNNNNNNNNNNNNNNNNNNNNNNNNNNNNNNNNNNNNNNNNNNNNNNNNNNNNNNNNNNNNNNNNNNNNNNNNNNGAGCACAUACUCAAAAUGUUUGGGUUACACGGUCGUCUGACUUCACUUGGAGUCGAACUUCCGGAUGAUGCUAUAAUUGACUGAAUCCUCCAGUCUCUCCCAUCAAGCUACAAAGGCUUUGUGCUUAACUACAACAUGCAAGGGAUGGAGAAGACCAUUCCCGAGUUGUACUCGAUACUCAAGUCUGCAGAAGUAGAAAUCAAGAAAGAGCAUCAAGUGUUGAUGGUCAACAAGACCACUAGUUUCAAGAAGGGCAAGGGUAAGAAGAACUUCAAGAAAGACGGCAAAGCUGUUGCUGCGCCCGGUAAGCCAGAUGCUGAGAAGAAGAAAAAGAAUGGACCCAAGCCUGAGACUGAGUGCUUCUAUUGCAAGGGAAAAGGUCACUGGAAGCGGAACUGCCCCAAAUACUUAGCGGACAAGAAGGCCGGCAACGUUAAAGGUAUAUGUGAUAUACAUGUUAUUGAUGUGUACCUUACCAGCGCUCUUAGUAGCUCCUGGGUAUUUGAUACCGGUGUUGUUGCUCACAUUUGCAACUCAAAGCAGGAACUGCGGAAUAAGCGGAGACUGGCCAAGGACGAGGUGACGAUGCGCGUCGGGAAUUGUUCAAAGGUCGAUGUGAUCGCCGUCGGCACGCUACCUCUACAUCUACAAUCGGGAUUAGUUUUGAACCUUAAUAAUUGUUAUUUAGUACCAGCUUUAAGCAUGAACAUUGUAUCAGGGUCUUGCUUAAUGCGAGACGGCUACUCAUUUAAGUGAGAGAAUAAUGGUUGUUCUAUUUAUAUGAGUGAUAUGUUUUAUGGUCAUGCUCCGCUGGUAAAUGGUUUAUUCUUGAUGAAUCUCGAUCGUGAUGUUACACAUAUUCAUAGUGUGAGUACCAGAAAAUGUAAAGUUGAUAAUGAUAGUCCCACAUACUUGUGGCACUGCCGCCUUGGUCAUAUCAGCGUUAAGCGCAUGAAGAAGCUCCAUACAGAUGGACUAUUAGAGUCUCUUGACUUUGAAUCAUUUGACACAUGCGAACCGUGCCUCAUGGGCAAGAUGACUAAGACUCCAUUCUCAGGAAUAAUGGAGAGAGCAACCGACUUAUUGGAAAUAAUACAUACCGAUGUGUGUGGUCCAAUGAACGUUGAAGCUCGCGGUGGUUAUCGUUAUGUUCUCACUCUCACCGAUGAUUUGAGUAGGUAUGGGUAUAUCUACUUGAUGAAGCACAAAUCUGAGACGUUUGAAAAGUUCAAGGAAUUUCAGAGUGAGGUUGAGAAUCAACGUGACAGAAAAAUUAAAUGUCUACGAUCUGAUCGUGGAGGAGAAUAUUUGAGUCACGAGUUUGGCACACACCUAAGGAAGUGUGGAAUCGUUUCACAACUGACGCCNNNNNNNNNNNNNNNNNNNNNNNNNNNNNNNNNNNNNNNNNNNNNNNNNNNNNNNNNNNNNNNNNNNNNNNNNNNNNNNNNNNNNNNNNNNNNNNNNNNNCAUUGUGAUCUAUUUAUUCACACAUGUAUUACUGUUUCCUGUUAAUACAAUUAUAGCAUGAACAAUAGACGAUUAUCAUGAACAAGGAAAUAUGAUAAUAACCAUUUUAUUAUUGCCGCUAGGGCAUAUUUCCAACAGUCUCCCACUUGCACUAGAGUCGAUAAUCUAGUUACAUUGUGAUGUAUCGAACACCCAUAGCAUUAUGGUGUUGAUCAUGUUUCGCUCGUGGAAGAUGUUUAGUCAACGGGUCUGCAAUAUUCAGAUCCGUGUGUACUUUACAAAUAUCUAUCACUCCACUCUGGACAUGGUCCUGGAUGGAGUUGUAGCGGCAUUUGAUGUGCUUUGUCUUCCGGUGAAAUCUGGGUUCCUUGGCUAUGGCAAUGGCCCCAGUGUUAUCACAGAAGAGUGUCAUUGGACCCGACGCGCUUGGAACCACUCCAAGGUCGGUGAUGAGCUCCUUCAUCCAAAUUCCUUCAUGAGCUACUUUUGAAGAAGCUAUGUACUCCGCUUCACAUGUAGAUGCUGCCACGACUUCUUGCUUGCUACUGCACCAGCUCACCGCCCCACCAUUCAACACAUAUACGUAUCCGGUCUGUGACUUAGAGUCAUCCGGAUCUGUGUCGAAGCUAGCGUCGACGUAACCCUUUACGACGAGCUCUUCGUCACCUCCAUAAACGAGAAACAUUUCCUUAGUCCUUUUCAUGUACUUAAGGAUAUUCUUGACCGCUGUCCGGUGCUCCAUACCGGGAUCACUUUGGUACCUCCCUACCAAGCUUAUGGCAAGGUUUAUAUGAGGUUGGGUACACAGCAUGGCAUACAUUAGAGAGCCCACGGCUGAUGCGUAGGGGACAUAACUCAUCUUCUCUCUAUCUGCUGCCGUGGUCGGCGACUGAGUCUUAGUCAAUCUCAUAGCUUGCAAAACUGGCAAGAACCCUUUCUUUGAGUUUUCCAUAUUGAACUUCAAUAUCUUGUCAAGGUAUGUACUUUGCGAAAGACCUAUGAGGCAUCUCGAUCUAUCUCUAUAGAUCUUGAUGCCUAAUAUGUAUGCAGCUUCUCCAAGGUCCUUCAUUGAAAAACUCUUGUUCAAAUAGGCCUUUAUGCUCUCCAACAUCUCUAUAUUAUUCCCCAUCAAUAAUAUGUCAUCCACAUACAGUAUGAGGAAAGCUACAGAGUUCCCACUCACUUUCUUGUACAGUCAGGCUUCUCCGUAAACCUGUAUGAACCCAAACGCUUUAAUCACCUCAUUAAAGCGAAUGUUCCAACUCCGAGAUGCUUGCACCAGCCCAUAGAUGGAGCGCUGGAGCUUGCACACUUUGCUAGCACCCUUAGGGUNNNNNNNNNNNNNNNNNNNNNNNNNNNUUGCUAGCACCCUUAGGGUCGACAAAACCUUCUGGUUGCGUCAUAUACAACUCUUCCUUAAGGUUCCCGUUAAGGAACACUGUUUUGACGUCCAUUUGCCAAAUUUCAUAAUCAUAAAAGGUGACAAUUGCUAACAUGAUUCGGACUGAUUUCAGCUUCGCUACGGGAGAGAAAGUCUCUUCGUAGUCAACUCCUUGAAUUUGUCGAAAACCCUUUGCGACAAGUUGAGCUUUGUAAAUGGUUACAUUACCGUUUGCAUCAGUCUUCUUCUUGAAGAUCCAUUUACUUUCUAUGGCUCGCCGCUCAUUGGGCAAUUCCACCAAAGUCCAUACUUUGUUCUCACACAUGGAUCCUAUCUCGGAUUUCAUAGCCUCAAGCCAUUUGUUGGAAUCCGGGCCCGCCAUCGCUUCUUCAUAGUUCGAAGGUUCACCGUUGUCUAACAACAUGAUUUCCAUCACAGGGCUGCCGUACCACUCUGGUGCGGAGCGUGCCCUUGUGGACCUUCGCGGUUCAGUAGUAACUUGAUCCGAAGCUUCAUGAUCAUCAUCAUUAACUUCCUCUUCAGUUGGUGUAGGCGCCACAGGAACAACUUCCCGCGUUGAGCUACUAUCCUGUUCGAGAGGGGGUGUAAUUACCUCAUCAAGUUCUACCUUCCUCCCACUUACUUCUUUCGAGAGAAACUCUUUCUCUAGAAAGGAUCCGUUCUUGGCAACAAAGGUUUUACCUUCGGAUCUAAGNNNNNNNNNNNNNNNNNNNNNNNNNNNNNNNNNNNNNNNNNNNNNNNNNNNNNNNNNNNNNNNNNNNNNNNNNNNNNNNNNNNNNNNNNNNNNNNNNNNNGUGAUAGUGAUGAUGAUGAUGCAUUUAUUGAUGAUGAUUAUUAGUUUGUAAGAUUCACAACUUAAAUUAUAUAUAUUUUAAUCUUUAUUAUUCAUGUACAUAUUAUUAUUCAUGUCAGUUAUUCAAUUUUUUUAUGUUGUACUAAUUUCUUUUAAUCUUUAUCAUGGCAGGUCACCUGGUGUUGAAAGAUGGUGGGCGCUGGUCCAGAGCGCUCGACGGGUUCUUCCCAGCCGCCCCGCACGAGGGGUGGUACUUCCCUUCCACCCCUAUGUCUCCGUAGAGCCUUGGCAGACAGUCUGUCGACACCACCCGUGGGUUCUUCUUCGUCGGCGGCAUUGCCCACUGGGAGAGGUGCUCUUCGGGUAGGGAAGAAGGGGAAGGGUACAUGGAGAGGUGGUGGCCACGGAAGAUCCAGGAGGACUGUUGAGCCGUCCUCGCCACCACCACCAGCUCAUUCACCCGAGCAUACGACUACUAUGGUCGACCCGUUUGCGGAAGAGGCUACGGGGACUCCGGUCUAGGAGCGUGGUGUUGACGGGCAUUCGUCCCAUGAGACUCCGGUCCAGGAUCAGCCUCGGGUCGAGGUGCAUUCGUCCCACGAGACUACGUUUCCGGAGGCUUCACCCGACGUGGAGAGGCCCGGAUGGGAUACCUGGCCGGAUCGGACCGAGUUGCCGGAUUGGACCGAGGGUCCGAGUGGCUCAGGGGGCUGGGAUGGCGGGGAUGAGUUUACGGAUAGUGAGGGCGAUGUGCAGGUGGACGGGGCCACCGUGUACAAGAGUGGUAGUACACGUCUCCCGGUCGUGCCGGCUACCCGCGAGCAGAGGCCGGUGAUUAAACCUGAAGGAGAUAGGUAAGUACAUUUACUCUUUUUUAGCUUUUGCCUUCAAGUUUGUUCAAAUAUCUAAUGUGUUGACCUUAUCAUACUGCAGGGGAUGGGUACACCCUAUUGGAGUCCGCAGGCCGAACUCCGUCCUUGGUGUGCUUUGCCGGACAAAUUUCCCGGGGUUUGUCACGUUGCUUGGUGAGGGUCAGGUUCCUACACUAGGAUUUUCCUGGGAGCACUACCAGGCUGCGCAAGCCCCGCCGGAAGAGAUUAUAGAUGGUGUCUUGUGACACACGAGGGUCGAGAUGGUGAUCAAGAGCUUUUGGGUAAAUUAUCCUUUUACACAAUCUAAAAUUAACAAGAUAAGUAAUUAUUGUACUAAUCGGUGUUUUCACGUUUGAUUGCAGACCUUCUAUAGGUGUGAGGAUGGAUAUGAGGAGGAGGCGGCCAAGGUUCUCGAGGCCGAGUGUAGGCGGUUACUACAGAACUUAUGCCACGAGGCUCGGCCGCAGGCUAUUCGAGACUACUAUGCCACGCGUGGUAUUAAGAAGCAGAAGAAGGAUUGCCGCGGAAAGUUUCUGAAGAAGGAGCAAUACAUGAAGGUAAUUACCUAUUCUUAAGUCCUUAUACGUAGUUUUCUUGAUUUCAUUCAUAGGCGUAGCGCUCAAAAUUCUUUCUAAUAACUUACAGGUGCCCCCGAGAUGGUGUGCGGAUAAGAUGGAUUGUUGGGAGGCGUUGGUUGAUGAGUGGUGCACAGGCAGCUGGCGAGCCGUCCACGAGAAUGCGAAGGAUCGGCAUAGCCAAAUGGUUGGUGUGCCACACCAUCAAGGCAACGCCAACUUACUUCAGUUUGGACGAAACUGGGUAUGUGAUUUGCUUCAUGAUUCAUGCAAUUCGUUCUUCAUGCUAGUGUUUUGAUCCUCUCUUUUAGGCGCAUCACAAUAAUACGGAGAUGCCACACUUGUACGACCUUUAUGGCAUGGCCCAUACUGCCUCGUACAAGAAGGCGAAGGCAUUCUCUGAGUCUGACCUGGAUGAUCCCAAUAACUUCACCAACAUAUCAUCCCACCACAAGCUCGUGGCAUACAGGGACGCGGGGAAGGCUAUGAAAGGGGAUGACUUUAACCCUAGCCAGGAACCUUUGGAUCCAAAGCUGGUGAUGAUAUCUGGUGGCAGGAGGCCCCAUGGCUCGAUAGCCAUUGGAGCUGGGAUAAUACGUUGUCCACUCACUCUCCCGGAGAUCAAGGCGCGCCAGUCGAGCAGUUGUCCUGAGAUAACGCGUCGUCCACGGCCAGUCGAUCUUGCCAUCGAGGUUAGUUGUACGGACUAAGAACACUUUCAUCCAUUUCAUUAUGUGUGUCACCAUAGAUCAUUACUGUGGUAACUAGGAGUGGUGUUUCAGGCUGCUCUUCGGAAAGAGAGGUUGGCAAACUAGGCUGCUCUUGAGAAAGAGAGAUUGGCAAACCAGGCUGCUCUUGAGAAAGAGAGAUUGGCAAGCCAGGCUGCUCUUGAUGAGAGGGACCAGACCACGACACGAUUGAUUGAGGAGGAGAGGUCCCGAAAUGAGGCGGGUCAACGGGCCGUGUAUGAGCUUUUUGUGGUAAGUUUUUUUUCACAUUAGCCAAAUCAUGUGUGUAAUGUCUGUUUCAUUACUAACUAAUACGACCCACUCUUCACGGUCAGUGCGAGAUGAGCGGUCAAGUCCCUCCGUCGAUGCCCGUCUUCUCUUCGAUUAGCAUGGUGAGUUUUAUUAUAAACUAGUAUUAAUAAUUUAGUGUCAUCAUGCUAACUCAGACAUUGCAAAAUAUCUAUUCUGCAGAAUAACUCCCGAGCGGCAUCGCCCGACCCUUCUCCACGUAUUUCUCCUCCUUGAUGACCACUACGGUAAGUUUAUAUUCUCCUCUUUCAUAUAAUGACAUAGUUAGCUAAUUUAGCUCCAAGAAGAGGAGAAGAGGAGGAGGAGGAGAAGGAGGAGAAGGCCAAGGACCUUCUAGUCCUUCUCCUCGUCCUCCUCCUUCUCCUCCUUCUUCUUUAUUUCUUCUUCUCCUCCUCCUCCUCCUCUUUCUUCUCCUCUUUCAUAUUCUCCUUGCCUUAAUUUCCCCAACAAUGACAUAAUUAGCCCAUUUAGCUCCAAAAUGCCAUAAUAACCUCAAAAUGGCAUAAGAACCUUGGUUAGCUCAUUAAUAUUAUAUACUUAGCUUGUUUUCCUCUAAAAUGGGACAAUUAGCCCAUUUAGCUCCAAAAAUACAUAGUUAGCUAAUUUAGCUCCAAGAAGAGGAGAAGAGGAGAAGAAAUAGGAAAAAUGAAAAGAAAGAAGAAGAAGAAGAAGAGAAGAAGGAGAAGGAGGAGGAGGAGGAGGAGAAGAAGAAUAAAUAAAGAAGAAGGAGGAGAAGGCCAAGGACCUUCUAGUCCUUCUCCUCCUCCUCCUCCUUCUCCUCCUUCUUCUUUAUUUCUUAUUCUUCUUCUCCUCCUCCUCUUUAUUCUCGUCUUUCAUAUUAUCCUUGCCUUAAUUUCCCUAACAAUGACAUAAUUAGCCAAUUUAGCUCCAAAAAGACAUUAUAAGCUCAAAAUGGCAUAAGAACAUUGGUUAGCACAUUAAUAUUAUAUACUUAGCUUGUUUUCCUCUAUAAUGACAUAGUUAGCUAAUUUAGCUCCAAGAAGAGGAGAAGAGGAGAAAUGAAAAGGAAGAACAAAAAGAAGAAGAGAAAGAGAAGAGAAGGAGAAGGAGAAGAAGGAGGAGGAGAAGAAGGAGAAGGAGGAGGAGGAGGAGGAGGAGGNNNNNNNNNNNNNNNNNNNNNNNNNNNNNNNNNNNNNNNNNNNNNNNNNNNNNNNNNNNNNNNNNNNNNNNNNNNNNNNNNNNNNNNNNNNNNNNNNNNNGAGAAGGCCAAUGUGGCCGUCGAACGCUGCAAAGAGGUGGAAUCCCGCCUGAGCGCCCUCCAAGGGGAACAUGCCAAGCUAGUCGAGCAACGCCGCUCGAAGGAGGAGGAACUCAAGGCCUGUGAGGCCAAGCUUGCCGCCCGGGAGAGGGAGCUGUCCCGGGAGACGAACCGCCUGGGAGCAGAACAGGAGCUCUUGGUUGAGCGGGAGAAGGAUGCCACNNNNNNNNNNNNNNNNNNNNNNNNNNNNNGCGGGAGAAGGAUGCCACCACGAAGGAGGCUCUCCUUGAGGCCUGGGAGAAGGCCCUCGCCGCAGCCAAGGAAAAGAAGGCCUCCGAGCUGGCAUGCUUCCCCGACGUCGAGCUUGUGCUUCGCAAGGCGAUCCACUACCUCUGUCGGGGUGGGUUUGACGAGCCUCUGGCUACCCCGGAGGAAAGCAUUUCCAUGCUCGCGAAUGGGCUCGUCACAGCGCUGCGGGAUGCCGUCAUGCAGAUCGACAAGUCCUUGGCGAGUGAAUGCCACGACCUCUUCUUCGCGGUCGUGACUCGUGUCUUCAGCCACGUUCAUCUUCGCGACCCCGAAUUUGAUCUAAGCUUCGUGAUCAUGUGGUUCCUCCCAGGGCCCGCGACCGCGUCGUGGAGUCGGUGAAGGGUCUUGUGGAGGCGUUGGUGAGGAAGUUCGCCCGCGUCGUGCCCCCCUCGUCACCAGGUACCGCUAGAGGCGACGAUAGGGAAGACAAUGCCUCCGAUGUCGACGACCAGCCCCCUGUGGAGGGGGUGACCGACGGCGGCUCCUCUUGAUCUACUGCACUUGUUAUUUCUCUGCAAUGCACAUCGUGCCUCGUGGAGGCGUCAAACUUAUUUGUGUUUUUUAUGAACUGGGUCAUGGUCUGUAAUAAUUGAAUGCUCGAUUGUUUUCCUCGGCUUGUUCCUAUCAUUUUUUCCGUGUUUCUCUAUGUCGGCAAGGCCGGCCCUGCUCGUACCUUCCCGUGAUUGGACUGACCGGAAACCAAGGACAACCCAAAGGGGGAAGGGGCUAUGAGCGCAGUUAGGCUCCUGAGUCGCGAUGCUCAGGAAUCCCCCUUGACGCGCAAGCUCCUCUCAUGAGGAGGACGUGGUGAAGAUUCCGAAACUUAGAACAUUUUCAGCACUCUGUGUCGGGAGAGCCUGCCCCGCGCAUACCUCGCCGCGAUUGAACCAACCAGAAACCAAGGACGGCCCAAAGGGGGAGUGGCUAUGAGCGUAGUUAGGCCCGUGAGUCGUGAUGCUCAUGGGUGCCCCUUGACGUGCGAGCGACUCCGAUCCUCUUCGUAAGAAACCGAUGGUGUGAGACUCUCGAACUCCUUCAACACUCUGCAUCUGCAGGGCCCGCCCCACGCGUACCUCCCCGCAGUUGAGCCGACCUGAAAGGGGUGGCUAAAAAGGGAAAGGGGCUACGGGCACAGUUCAGGCUCCUGAGUCGCGAUGCUCAGGAGUCACACUUGACAUGCGAGUGACUCCAGCAUUCUUCCUAAGGGAUUUAAAGCGACUUGUUGAGCGCAUUGGGCUAUGUGUCCGCAGGGCCCGCCCCCUGCGUACCUUCCUGCGAUUGAACCGUCCAAGGACGGCCCAAAGAGCGAAGGGGCUACGAGCAUAGUUAGGCCGCUGAGUCGCGAUGCUCAGGGGUCCCCCUUGAUGUGCGAGCGGCUCCGUACCUUCAGUUGUUUGCCCACACGCUGGGUGUGGGCGGAGCUGUGGAUGUAUUGCGCUGAUCCCCUCGAUGGCCUUGGGUGUAGCCAUUGGCGGGCUGUGUUAAUGCCGGUUGAGGGCGUAGUCAUCGGCGGACUAUAUUGGUUGCCCAUGUAUGUACCCAGCGCGGAGCAUAGGUCUUCUACUAGGCAUAGGGUGGACCCCUCCGUGUCCUCGGGGGGCCCUGGGCGUAUAUAGCCUCGGCUCGUUAUUACGUUAGAGUGUCACGGUGGGGGUGUAUAUGGGAGGUCGCGAGAAAGAUAGGGCCUUGCAAGUGUCCCUACCCCGAGGCAUCGGGGCCUGAUCUUCUCCCCAGCGUGGAGCGUAGGUCUGCCACUCGGUAUAGGAUGGACCCCAACNNNNNNNNNNNNNNNNNNNNNNNNNNNNNNNNGACCCCAACGUGUCCUCGGGAGGCCUUGGGCGUAUACAGCCUCGGCUCGUUAUUACGUGAGAGAGUCACAGUGGGGUGUAUAUGGGAGGUCGUGAGGAUGCUAUGGCCUCGCGAGUGUCCCUACCCCCGAGUCAUUGGUGGACUGAAUUGACUUGGUUUGGGUCAUUGGCAAACCCUGCUCACUUCUUCUUUAGGAGAGGGGCUCCGCACCUGCACGAACAAACUUUGACCGGAGCCCCCAAGCGGGGGCCGAUCGCCCGACAAUAUAACCAAGGCGGAACGUUAGGAUGCCAAGCAGGUGCAAUUGAACAACCAAAUGAUGCAUAAACGAAAGUAGUAGCUGGGGAAAGUACAGAGCUCGGGGAGGCCGCAUGGCCCUGGGGUUACCUAUGGACUGGGCGAACCGAAAGGUUACCUGGCAGCGGCCAGCAAAAAGUUACCUAGCGGCCGAGCUGCUGAAGUGCCGGAGGCUCUGUUGUCGCUUGAUUUCCUGGAUCCGCAGUCGCGACCCUCACGGGUCCAUCGCCCCCCGAUCUAGGGGCCUUCGCUUGGCCCGAGCAUCUUCUCCUCCUCCUCGUGGCGCCCAAGCACGCAAGGGAGGAGAAUGGCCUGCUGGAGCCUCUGGUACGUGGCAGCCGCGUUCCUCAGCCCGGAGAGCAUGAAGGCUUCAGUGCUCGGGUACUCCCACCAGUAGCCAGUCUGCGUAGGACAGAAGGGGUCGUGCGCCAUGGCUGCGUUGGUUGCAGACGCGUUAAUGCAGAUGCGGGGCCGGUCAACUGUGCAGACAGCGGCGACUGCGAUGGGUGGUGCGGGGCAGUUACCGUGUCGCAUGGUCUGGGCCUCGAGAAGUUCUCGGAUUUCUUUGAUGACGGACUCGCGAGAUCUGGUCGAACGUGCUCCGGAGUGCGCCCUCGGGAUGUGCUCAGACACCGCCUCUGUCUCACUGAUCAGGCUAGGGGCCUCCCCGGUGGGAGCCCCCUAGCCCUGAUCUAAGAGGGACGCCGAGCGCACAUCCCUAUGCGAUGGGGGGCAGGGAUCCGUCCCCGAGCAUCGAACACAAAGCCCCGAGGCACUCCGCAGGGAGGAACUCCUUCUUGAGCGGGGCUUCGUGAGGCAGCUCGUCAUCUUCAUCAUUUGAGCGUUCUGACGUUGCCGCACGGUACGCUCUCUCCAGUGCGUAGACAUCAUCCUUCUCAUGACAGGGUAUGGUGAUGUCACCACCGCUUCCCGGCAUCUUGAGGACAUUCUAUCCAUGGUGGACCACGACCAUGAACUUGGCAAGCACUGGUUACCCGAGGAUGGCAUUGUAUGGCAGAUGGAUGUGCGCGACGUCGAAGAGGAUGACCUUGGUGUGAUAGUUGUGGCGCUCGCCAAAGGUGACGGGCAGGUGCACUUGCCCAAUGGGUACGGUGGAUCCCUUUGUUACCCCUGAGAAGGGCUUGGUCGGCAUGAGUUGCUCAUACGGCAGCUGGAGCUUCUCGAAGGUCUCGACUGAGAGGAUGUUGAGCCCAGCUCCACUCUCAAUGAGAGUCUUGGUGACGAGGACGUUGCUGAUAGUUGGGGUGCACAUCAUUGGGAGCUUGCCAGCCAGGAACGAGCACCUGAGCUGGUCGCUUGGGUCGAAAGCAAUGGUGGUCUGGGACUAGUUGAGGGGACGUAUCGCUUCAGGCCUCGGGAGGGCGACAUUCACCUCCUGGGACAACUGCAUGAAGGCGUGGUUGGAUGCUGGGGUCUGGGCACCACCCAGGAUGGAAGCUAGUGCCCUGGCAUUCUGGAAGCCCCCAGCCCUGUCGUCUUGCUUGUCUUCGUUCCUCCUCCUGGGCUGCAGGGGCAGCGAGGGCAGCCUGGUCUCUCGAGGGCGAGCCUCACGAGGUUGGCCGCUUCGCUGGCCCUCCUGAGGAUUAUCACGCCAGCGGUCCUCCUGAGGUUGGCCAUGCCAGGGGUCCUCCUGAGGCUUCUCAUGCCACCCCUGACGUGGCUCACGAUCAUCCCAGCGGACCCCAUUGCGGCCUCCUCCAUGCAGGGUUUCUGUAGAACUGUCCGGGAUCCUGUUGAAGUGUUUGGCAUGAACCAAACGUAGUUCUUGACAUUCAGAGGUGUCAUGGCCGAUGGUGCAAUGGAAGAUGCACGUCGGCCCUCCUCCAGAGGGGCGCUCUCCCCCCUCGAGUAUGCUUCGUUUCAGGCUCGGCGGCUAGUACCGCUGGGGCCUUGCGCUUCAGCUCCUUGGCUUUGGCCUUCUUCUCUUCUGGGUCCGCCGCCUGGGGCCCAAGGAGCGAUAGGCGUCCUUCUUCCGCCUUGGCGCACUUGCUUGCCAAGUUGAACAUCUCCAAUGCGGUGCUCAUUUCAUCGUUCAUGGCAAGCUCUUCCUUCAUCUUGAGGUCGGUGACUCCGUUGGAUAAAGACGAUACGACAGCCUCAUCCGACGCCUUAGGGAUCAUGAGGCGCAUGACAGUCAAACAUUGUAUGAACUUGUGCAGGUUAUCCACCUCUUGCUGCUUGACGCGCCGCAGGUCGAUCACGGUGGGAGCGCGGUCGCGGGUGCCCUGGAAGUUGGCGAUGAAGCGCUCACGCAAGCCGUCCCAGGAGGUAAUGGACGCCUUUGGGAGGUUGAGGAGCCAUGAAAGCGCGCCACCCUUGAGCGCCAUCGGGAACCAACAUGCCAUGAUCUUGUCGCCACCUCCUGCCGCCUUGAUGCUCAGUGUGUAGAGUUGCAGGAACUCUGUCGGGUCUUGGUUUCCGUCGUAACAUGGGGGCAGGUCGGGCUUGAACUUGCAGGGCCAUGUGCCGGGGUAGAUAUCGGGGGCGAUGGUGAAGCACCCCACCGGUCCAACAAGCACAGUACGCGCGGGGGCUGCCUGGUCUUGUUGUUCCUCAGGGUCUGCCUCGAGCAGAGCACGCUCCGGGCGCGAGAUCUACAACGCCAGGGGAGCGCACGCGUUGGCGCGGGGCCUGGGGAUCAUCUGGCAGCUUGCUUCAUCCCCGGGCCUCGCCCUGGGUUCACGCGGCCGAGCACGGAGUCGUGCUUCCUGCCCGGGCUCGGGGUCCGCGACAUGCCGCGGAGGCGAGUAUGGCGCGUCUUGCUCCUCGUUGUUCGUCAGGGACGGCUAGGGCCGGAGCAAGCAGGAGAGUGCCGCUGAGUCACCAGCGGCGGCGAUGAGUUCCUCGAUGCGAUGGAUCGAGUUGUCAUGGCGGUCUAGAGCUGGUCGGUAAGGGAGAAGCUCGGUGGUCAUGGCAAGCGGGCGGCGGCCAUGGGGCCUCCCUAGCCGAGCGCGGGAUGCCGACGCCGAAGGCCUGACGAGCGACGGCGUGGCGGUGCAGCUGUCGACAUGCUCAGUCGGAGGUUGGGAGCAGCCCUGUUGCUCUAGAGCUUCGGGGCUGGUAGCAGCAUUCACCACGGGUGACGGUGACCGACACGCACCGGCAGCACCGACGGGUGCGGUCCGGGCGAUGCGGGUGGCGCGAUGUUCCGCACGUACCCGGUGUGUAUCAGCCAUCAGAGCCAUGGAGUUUGGUGAGGACGGAGCUUGGAGUAAACCUCGACACGCCCCUACCUGGCACGCCAAAUGUUGGAUUUCGGGCUCUGCAAAACCCUAAGGACUCAAACACUGGCGCGUGUACAAAGAUCUCCCCUUCUUCGCCUCGCCUGUCUCACUACUCGAUGGAAACAAUGAAGGACUCACUAGAAGGUGAGGAGAACACAGAACCCAGCAACUUACCCAGGUUCGAGCCGCUAUGAAGCGUAAAACCCUAAUACUGCUUUGGAGGAUUGCCUCUCUUCAAGGUUGAGGAACGAGAUGGUACAUGGCUUUUGCGCCUCCGGAGGCCAAGUGGCUAAGCGUGCUGCACUAGGGUUUCGAUCCCCUCUCUCAAGUAUCUGUUGGGCAAGGUUGCAUGGGAAACAAAAAAAUUCCUACGCACACGAAGACCUAUCAUGGUGAUGUUCAUCUACGAGAGGGAGGUCAUAUCCACAUACCCUUGUAGAUCGCUAAGCACGAAGUGUUAAGAAAUGUAGUUGAUGUAGUGGAACAGCUUUGUGAUUCAAAUCACCAUUGUCCCACGAUCCGUCCCGAUCUAGUACCGAACGGACCACACCUCUGCGUUCAGCGCACGUACAGCUCGAUGACGAUCUCUGCCUUCUUGAUCCAGCAAGAGAGACGGGGAUGUAGAUGAGUUCUCCGGCAGCGUGAUGGCGUGCUGGUGAUGGUGAUGAUCUAUUCCUACAGGGCUCCGCCCGACCUCCGCAAAAAACCGAUCUAGAGGAAGAACUACGAAGUAGAGGUUUAGGGUUUCAUGUGGCAAAGUUUUUUCUCAAGAACACUAAAAUCUCUAGUAUAUAUAGUAGGAGGGGAGGGGCUAGCCUUGGGGAUCAAGAGAGCCCCUAGGGCGUCGGCCGAGUGGAGGAGGAGGGACUCCCACUCCAAUUCGGUUUGGGAAGGAGGAGUCCCUUCCUUCCUUCCCACCUCCCUCUUUUUUUUCUCCUUUGAUUUUUCCUCUUGGACGAAAUAGCCCUAUUAGGCUGGCCUCACCAGCCCACCAAGGGCUGGUGCGCCACCCAUGGCCUAUUAGGUUCUCUCCCGGGUGGGUGGCCCCCUCCCGGUAAAAACCCGGAACCCAUUCAUCACUCCCGGUACACUGCCGGUAAUGCCCGAAAUCUUUCCGGAAGCCAAAUGAAACAAUCCUAUAUAUCAAUCUUCGUUUCCGGACCAUUUCGGAAACUCACUUGAUGUCUGUCAUCUCAUCCGGGAGUCCCAACAAACCUUCGGUCGCCAACACCUAUAACUCAACUAUACUGAAACGUCACCGAACCUUAAGUAUGCAGACCCUGCGGGUUCGAGAACAAUGCAGACAUGACCUGAGACACUCCCUGAUCAAUAUCCAAUGGAGGGACCUGGAUGUCCAUAUUGGAUCCUACAUAUUCUACAAAGAUCUUAUCAGUUGAACCUCUGUGCCAAGGAUUCAUAUAAUCCCGUAUACCAUUCCCUUUGUCCUUCGGUAUGUUACUUUCCCGAGAUUCGAUCGUCGGUAUCCCUAUACCUAUUUAAAUCUCGUUACCGGCAAGUCUCUUUACUCGUUCUGUAAUACAAGAUCCUGUGACAAACACUUUAGUCACAUUUCUUGCAAGGCUUAUAUGUGAUGUUGUAUUACCGAGUGGGCCCCGAGAUACCUCUCCGUCACANNNNNNNNNNNNNNNNNNNNNNNNNNNNNNNNNNNNNNNNNNNNNNNNNNNNNNNNNNNNNNNNNNNNNNNNNNNNNNNNNNNNNNNNNNNNNNNNNNNNAGCAUGUUUUCUCGAGCCAUGUUGGUACAUGAACAUGGACAUACACAUAUUCUUAGGAACAAAUAAGAAAGAUAAAUGGAGAAGGAAAACCCAAAGCAAUGUCAGAGUUGACAAAACUGCAAUGGCACUUUAUAUGUGGCCCAUCGUCAGUGAGCUGUUUAUGCCUUGCCGGACUCCUCGCAGCCUGGUGGCUUGAAGGCGAUGAAGCUGACGCACUGCACCUGACGCAUGUUGUCGAAUCCGAUGAUGCGGACAUACGCGUCAGGGUACUCCUUCUUGACCUCCUCCACCUCGUUGAGCACCUGUGUGGCGUCGGUGCAUCCGAACAUAGGCAGCUUCCACAUUGUCCAGUACCGGCCAUCGUAGUACCCAGGAGAUGCGUUGUGCUCACGGAAGAUGAACCCAACCUUGCUGAACUCGAGGCAAGGCACCCACUUGGAGCGGAUCAGGUAGUCGACCUGCUUAAGGAGGGCCUCCGUGCUGAGUGGUGGCAAGUAAGACAGGGUCUCGAACUUCUUGAUGCCCUCGAUGGGCCACACCUGCAAAUCAGAUUCACGUCUAUACAUUAAGAGACUAUAACUCUAGUUCUACACGUUUGAUUGUUCUUCUUGACAUCCGUCGGCUUAAAAAUGACUAGAAAGACAGAGACGAUGUUGUUUACCUGCAUGCACCUGAUCCUUCCACCGUUGCUGACGCUGCCGAGGCUAGCACCGUUCGAGCGGCGGCUGACGGGGAGGCCGGCGGUGGACUUGAGCCCCUGGAAAGGAGCGACGGAGGUGGCCGACGAGGCCAUCACGGUGGGGGCCAUAGCUGUACUAUGUAGGUAUAUAGCUUGCUAGAGGGAGGCACACUGGCUUGAGGACUG
rnacentral:lncRNA from 1 species